rnacentral:rRNA from 1 species
UGGGGAAUCUUAGACAAUGGGGGAAACCCUGAUCUAGCCAUGCCGCGUGAUCGAUGAAGGCCUUAGGGUUGUAAAGAUCUUUCAGGUGGGAAGAUAAUGACGGUACCACCAGAAGAAGCCCCGGCUAACUCCGUGCCAGCAGCCGCGGUAAUACGGAGGGGGCUAGCGUUAUUCGGAAUUACUGGGCGUAAAGCGCACGUAGGCGGACCAGAAAGUCAGAGGUGAAAGCCCGGGGCUCAACCCCGGAACUGCCUUUGAAACUCCUGGUCUUGAGGUCGAGAGAGGUGAGUGGAAUUCCGAGUGUAGAGGUGAAAUUCGUAGAUAUUCGGAGGAACACCAGUGGCGAAGGCGGCUCACUGGCUCGAUACUGACGCUGAGGUGCGAAAGCGUGGGGAGCAAACAGG